rnacentral:lncRNA from 1 species
UUUCUUUUACCUUUGUUUUAGUUCUUUCCUUUCCAGUUUUUAUUUCUUCUCUUAGUGGAAUAAGUCUUUAGUGUUUAGUUUGAGUCUUUUUCCUUGUGUCUCCUCCGAUGUAUUCGAUCUUGCAAGCUAUAUAAUAAAGAGUAUCUUAGUCAAAGGCUUUGUUUUGUGCCGUGAUCUAAAGUAUUAAAAGCGCGAUAGCAUGAAAGAUCAUGAGAUGAUCUUAUGGAAAGUGAU